AUUGAACGCUGGCGGCAUGCCUUACACAUGCAAGUCGAACGGCAGCACGGGAGCAAUCCUGGUGGCGAGUGGCGAACGGGUGAGUAAUAUAUCGGAACGUGCCCAGUCGUGGGGAUAACGUAGCGAAAGCUACGCUAAUACCGCAUACGAUCUACGGAUGAAAGCGGGGGAUCGCAAGACCUCGCGCGAUUGGAGCGGCCGAUAUCAGAUUAGGUAGUUGGUGAGGUAAAGGCUCACCAAGCCGACGAUCUGUAGCUGGUCUGAGAGGACGACCAGCCACACUGGGACUGAGACACGGCCCAGACUCCUACGGGAGGCAGCAGUGGGGAAUUUUGGACAAUGGGCGCAAGCCUGAUCCAGCCAUUCCGCGUGCAGGAUGAAGGCCCUCGGGUUGUAAACUGCUUUGUACGGAACGAAAGGUUCUAUUAAUACUAGCAGCUCAUGACGGUACCGUAAGAAUAAG
rnacentral:rRNA from 1 species